rnacentral:rRNA from 1 species
UACGUAGGGGGCAAGCGUUGUCCGGAUUUAUUGGGCGUAAAGAGCGUGUAGGCGGCCUGAAAGGUCAGCUGUGAAAACUCGAGGCUCAACCUCGAGACGUCGGUUGAAACCAUCUGGCUAGAGUCCGGAAGAGGAGAGUGGGAAUUCCCGGUGUAGCGGUGAAAUGACGUAGAUAUCGGGAAGAACACCCGUGGCGAAGGCGGCUCUCUGGGACGGUACUGACGCUGAGACGCGAAAGCGUGGGGAGCGAACGAGG